rnacentral:siRNA from 1 species
ACUCUCUUGUUCUGAAGUUGC